rnacentral:rRNA from 1 species
AGGAUGAACGCUGGCGGCGUGCUUAACACAUGCAAGUCACGGGGGUUUGAGGCGCAAGCCUUGAGCAACCGGCGAACGGGUGCGUAACACGUGAGCAACCUACCUAAGUGAGGGGGAUAGCCGGCCCAACGGCCGGGUAAUACCGCAUACGCUCAAGUCGAGGCAUUUUGAUUUGAGGAAACCUACGGGGCACUAUGAGGGGCUCGCGGCCUAUCAGCUAGUUGGCGAGGUAAUGGCUCACCAAGGCGACGACGGGUAGC